UAGGGAAUCUUCGGCAAUGGACGGAAGUCUGACCGAGCAACGCCGCGUGAGUGAAGAAGGUUUUCGGAUCGUAAAGCUCUGUUGUAAGAGAAGAACGAGUGUGAGAGUGGAAAGUUCACACUGUGACGGUAUCUUACCAGAAAGGGACGGCUAACUACGUGCCAGCAGCCGCGGUAAUACGUAGGUCCCGAGCGUUGUCCGGAUUUAUUGGGCGUAAAGCGAGCGCAGGCGGUUAGAUAAGUCUGAAGUUAAAGGCUGUGGCUUAACCAUAGUACGCUUUGGAAACUGUUUAACUUGAGUGCAAGAGGGGAGAGUGGAAUUCCAUGUGUAGCGGUGAAAUGCGUAGAUAUAUGGAGGAACACCGGUGGCGAAAGCGGCUCCCUGGCUUGUAACUGACGCUGAGGCUCGAAAGCGUGGGGAGCAAACAGGAUUAGAUACCCUGGUAGUCCACGCCGUAAACGAUGAGUGCUAGGUGUUAGACCCUUUCCGGGGUUUAGUGCCGCAGCUAACGCAUUAAGCACUCCGCCUGGGGAGUACGACCGCAAGGUUG
rnacentral:rRNA from 1 species